rnacentral:rRNA from 1 species
ACGGCUCAGUAACACGUGGACAACCUACCCUAAGGAGGGGGAUAACCCCGGGAAACUGGGGAUAAUACCCCAUAGACUAGAGAAGCUGGAAUGCUCUCAAGUCCAAAGGUCCGCCGCCUUAGGAUGGGUCUGCGGUCGAUUAGGUUGUUGUUGGGGUAACGGCCCAACAAGCCCGUGAUCGAUACGGGUUGUGAGAGCAAGAGCCCGGAGAUGGAUUCUGAGACACGAAUCCAGGCCCUACGGGGCGCAGCAGGCGCGAAAACUUUACAAUGCGGGAAACCGUGAUAAGGGAACCCCGAGUGCCCGUAAAUUCGGGCUGUCCAUCAGCGUAAAUAACUGGUGAAGAAAGGGCCGGGCAAGACCGGUGCCAGCCGCCGCGGUAAUACCGGCGGCUCGAGUGGUGGCCACUAUUAUUGGGCUUAAAGCGUCCGUAGCUUGGUUGUUAAGUCUCUUGGGAAAUCUACCGGCUCAACCGGUAGGCGUUCAGGAGAUACUGGCAAUCUAGGGACCGGGAGAGGUGAGAGGUACUCCAGGGGUAGGAGUGGAAUCCUGUAAUCCUUGGGGGACCACCUGUGGCGAAGGCGUCUCACUAGAACGGCUCCGACAGUGAGGGACGAAAGCUGGGGGAGCAAACCGGAUUAGAUACCCGGGUAGUCCCAGCUGUAAACGAUGCGCGUUAGGUGUAUCGGUGACCACGAGUCACCGAGGUGCCGAAGGGAAACCGUGAAACGUGCCGCCUGGGAAGUACGGUCGCAAGGCUGAAACUUAAAGGAAUUGGCGGGGGAGCAC